AAUGAACGCUGGCGGCGUGCCUAACACAUGCAAGUCGGAUGUGCCGCAAGGUGCAUGGCAGACGGGUGAGUAACGCGUGGGGAACCUACCUCUUCGUGGGGAAUAACGAUCCGAAAGGAUUGGUAAUACCGCAUGAGACCGACGGCUGGGAUGCUGUCGGUGAAAGCUGGGGACCGGAAACGGCCUGGCGCGAGGAGAGGGUCCUGCGUCUGAUUAGCUAGUUGGUGGGGUAACGGCCUACCAAGGCAUCGAUCAGUAGCCGGCCUGAGAGGGUGAUCGGCCACACUGGAACUGAGACACGGUCCAGACUCCUACGGGAGGCAGCAGUGGGGAAUUUUGCGCAAUGGACGAAAGUCUGACGCAGCAACGCCGCGUGGGUGAUGAAGGUCUUCGGAUUGUAAAACCCUGUCGUCGGGGACGAAGGUAGGAGGGUUAAUAGCCCUUUUGCUUGACGGUACCCGGAGAGGAAGCCCCGGCUAACUCUGUGCCAGCAGCCGCGGUAA
rnacentral:rRNA from 1 species